CACGUAGGGGGCGAGCGUUGUCCGGAUUCAUUGGGCGUAAAGAGCUGCGUAGGCGGCUUCAGCAAGUCGGGUGUGAAACCUCCAGGCUCAACCUGGAGACGCCACUCGAAUGACUGCUGUGGCUAGAGUCCAGUAGGGGAGCGUGGAAUUCCUGGUGUAGCGGUGAAAUGCGCAGAUAUCAGGAGGAACACCAGCGGCGAAGGCGGCGCUCGUGGGCUGGAACUGACGCUGAGGAGCGAAAGCGUGGGGAGCGAACAGG
rnacentral:rRNA from 1 species